ACUACGGGCGGCUGCAGUGGGGAAUAUUGCACAAUGGGGGAAACCCUGAUGCAGCGACGCCGCGUGAGUGAAGAAGUAUUUCGGUAUGUAAAGCUCUAUCAGCAGGGAAGAAAAAAGACGGUACCUGACUAAGAAGCCCCGGCUAACUACGUGCCAGCAGCCGCGGUAAUACGGAGGGGGCAAGCGUUAUCCGGAUUUACUGGGUGUAAAGGGAGCGUAGACGGUGCGUCAAGUCUGAAGUGAAAGCCCGGGGCUUAACCCCGGGACUGCUUUGGAAACUGGCGCGCUAGAGUGCUGGAGAGGUAAGUGGAAUUCCUAGUGUAGCGGUGAAAUGCGUAGAUAUUAGGAGGAACACCAGUGGCGAAGGCGGCUUACUGGACAGUAACUGACGUUGAGGCUCGAAAGCGUGGGGAGCAAACAGGAUUAGAUACCCUUGUAGUC
rnacentral:rRNA from 1 species